rnacentral:rRNA from 1 species
GACGUAGGGCGCGAGCGUUGUCCGGAUUUAUUGGGCGUAAGGCGCGUGUAGGCGGCCCGGUAAGUCCGCUGUGAAAGUCCAGGGCUCAACCCUGGGAUGCCGGUGGAUACUGUCGGGCUCGAGUCCGGAAGAGGCGAGUGGAAUUCCUGGUGUAGCGGUGAAAUGCGCAGAUAUCAGGAGGAACACCAAUGGCGAAGGCAGCUCGCUGGGACGUGACUGACGCUGAGACGCGAAAGCGUGGGGAGCAAACAGG